GGGCUCAUAGCCUCAACUGGAUAGAGCAGCCGACUUCUAAUCGGCAGGUUGAGGGUUCGAGUCCUUCUGGGCCCGCCA
rnacentral:tRNA from 1 species